UUUUUCUUUUUCUUUUUCUUCUUUUUCUUCUUGUUCUUUUUGUUGGAUGUUUUUGAGGAGGGAGGAGGAGAGAGAAGAAGAAGAGAGAAAGAGAGAAGAGAGAUAGGCGAGUAAAUCUUCUUCUUUUGUUGUGAAUUGUUUGUGAGAUUGGAUCUUUUUUGAGAAUGAGACAAAGAAUGUUGUUCCCAAAGAAGAAAUUCUUAAAACACUUUUCAAAAUUGAUGCAGAAUAAUUUUUCUUAUUAAUUUUUGUCCAUUCAAUAAUUUUUGUGUGAAAAAUCACAGAACAAAUAC
rnacentral:ribozyme from 13 species